AUUGAACGCUGGCGGCAGGCCUAACACAUGCAAGUCGAGCGAGCGGCGGACGGGUGAGUAAUGUAUGGGGACUGCCCGAUAGAGGGGGAUAACUACUGGAAACGGUGGCUAAUACCGCAUACUAUCGGAUAACCCAUAUGGGAUUAGCUAGUCGGUGGGGUAAAGGCUCACCGAGGCGACGAACGCUAGCUGGUCUGAGAGGACGAUCAGCCACACUGGGAUGGAGACACGGCCGUGAAUCCUGCGGAGGCAGCAGUUGGGAAUAUUGCCCGAUGGGCGCAAGCCUGAUGCAGUCAUGCCGCGUGAAUGAAGAAGGCCUUAGGGUUGUAAAGUACUUUCAGCGGGGAGGCGUUACCCGCAGAAGAAGCACCGGCUAACUCCGUGCCAGCAGCCGCGGUAAUUC
rnacentral:rRNA from 1 species